GAUGAAGAACGCAGCGAAAUGCGAUAAGUAGUGUGAAUUGCAGAAUUCAGUGAAUCAUCGAAUCUUUGAACGCACAUUGCGCCCCUUGGUAUUCCAUGGGGCAUGCCUGUUCGAGCGUCAUUUGUACCUUCAAGCUCUGCUUGGUGUUGGGUGUUUGUCCUUGCUCUAGUGGCGGGACUCGCCUUAAAGUAAUUGGCAGCCAGUGUUUUGGUUUUGAAGCGCAGCACAAGUCGCGAUUCAAGUCUAUACGCUAGUUUCCACAAGUCUUUUAUCACUUUUGACCUCGGAUCAGGUAGGGAUACCCGCUGAACUUAAGCAUAUCAAUAAGGGAGGA
rnacentral:misc_RNA from 1 species